GUGUCUCACUUUUUAUUGAUCUCAAAGGCUUUUGAUACAGUUGAUCAUGCUAUACUGGGGCAGAGAUUGUCGAGCGUAGGUUGCUAACUAUCUGUCUGAUAGAACUCAGUGCACUCAAUUUGAUGGGCUCAUGUCUGUUAAAUUGUCUGUAUGUAAUGGUGUGCCCCAGGGCUCUGUACUUGGUCCCCUCUUAUUCACUAUUAAUAUAAAUAAUUUAGA